rnacentral:rRNA from 1 species
UGACGAUCUGGCGCUAGCCAUCCGGGGUAUUUCAGCCUCUAGUGUCGAUCUUGGUGGUAGUCCUGUGUGAAAUUGUUAUCCGCCAUAGAGGGUGAGAAUCCCGAAUGGGACUGGAUUGCACCCUCCACGGAGCUCCUUCGACGAGGAAAGUUGUUUGUUUGUGCAGCUCUAAAUGGGAGGAUAAUUUCUUCUAAAGCUAAAUACCGGCCAGACACCGAUAGCGCACAAGUGCUAGUGAUCGAAAGAUGAAAAGCACUUUGGAAAGAGAGUUAAAAAGCACGUGAAAUUGUUGAGGACUUCCUCCCGCAACCAGACUUUGCGGCAGGUUUCGGCCGGUCUUCUGACCGG